CAAAAUAUACUUCUUUUUGUCCAAUUGUGUUUGACCCCAUAUCCUUGAAUUUUACAUGCUUCACCAUAAUAUGAGAAUUUUGAUAGUUCACAAACUCGGUUCCAUACUUCAUUUGGUGACAAUCGAGGGGGAGGAAAAUUUGUUACUCGCUCGUAUAUUUUGAAAUCAUUCUUGUUUCUUCUAAAGACAUGAUCUUGUGGUAGGAAUUUGCGGUGACAGUCAAG
rnacentral:lncRNA from 1 species